GACGAACGCUGGCGGCGUGCUUAACACAUGCAAGUCGAACGGUGAAGCGCCUUCCUUUUUGGUGGGUGUGGAUGAGUGGCGAACGGGUGAGUAACACGUGAGUAACCUGCCCCCUUCUUCUGGAUAACCGCAUGAAAGUGUGGCUAAUACGGGAUAUUCUGGGUCUGUCGCAUGAUGGGUCUGGGGAAGAUAUUGUUUCGGUGGGGGAUGGGCUCGCGGCCUAUCAGCUUGUUGGUGGGGUGAUGGCCUACCAAGGCGAUGACGGGUAGCCGGCCUGAGAGGGUGGGCGGUCACAGAGGGAAUGCAACACGGAGAAGACUACGGCGGGAGGCAGUAGUGGAGAAUAUUGCACAAUGGGAGCAAGGCUGAUGCAGCGACGCGGGGUGGAGGAUGGAGGCCGUCGGGUUGAGAACCUCUGUCGGCAGUGAAGAAGGCCUGCCUAGUUUGUGGGUGGGUUGACGGUAGCUAGAUAAGAAGCGCCGGCUAACUACGUG
rnacentral:rRNA from 1 species